rnacentral:rRNA from 1 species
GACGAACGCUGGCGGCGUGCUUAACACAUGCAAGUCGAACGGAAAGGCCCUGCUUUUGUGGGGUGCUCGAGUGGCGAACGGGUGAGUAACACGUGAGUAACCUGCCCUUGACUUUGGGAUAACUUCAGGAAACUGGGGCUAAUACCGGAUAGGAGCUCCUGCUGCAUGUUGGUGGUUGGAAAGUUUCGGCGGUUGGGGAUGGACUCGCGGCUUAUCAGCUUGUUGGUGGGGUAGUGGCUUACCAAGGCUUUGACGGGUAGCCGGCCUGAGAGGGUGACCGGCCACAUUGGGACUGAGAUACGGCCCAGACUCCUACGGGAGGCAGCAGUCGGGAAUAUUGCACAAUGGGCGGAAGCCUGAUGCAGCAACGCCGCGUGCGGGAUGACGGCCUUCGGGUUGUAAACCGCUUUCGCCUGUGACGAAGAGUGAGUGACGGUAAUGGGUAAAGAAGCACCGGCUAACUACGUG